UGGGGAAUAUUGCACAAUGGACGGAAGUCUGAUGCAGCAACGCCGCGUGUGGGAUGACGGCCUUCGGGUUGUAAACCGCUUUUUCUCAUGACGAAGUUUUUUGACGGUAGUGGGGGAAGAAGCACCGGCUAACUACGUGCCAGCAGCCGCGGUGAUACGUAGGGUGCGAGCGUUGUCCGGAAUUAUUGGGCGUAAAGAGCUUGUAGGCGGUUUGUCGCGUCGAUAGUGCAAACUCAGUGCUUAACGCUGAGCCUGCUGUUGAUACGGGCAGACUAGAGGAAGGUAGGGGAGAAUGGAAUUCCCGGUGGAGCGGUGGAAUGCGCAGAUAUCGGGAGGAACACCGGUGGCGAAGGCGGUUCUCUGGGCCUUUCCUGACGCUGAGAAGCGAAAGCGUGGGGAGCGAACAGG
rnacentral:rRNA from 1 species